rnacentral:rRNA from 1 species
GACGAACGCUGGCGGCGUGCCUAAUACAUGCAAGUCGAACGAGAAAUUCUUACACCGGAUGCUUGCAUCCACCGUAAGAUUUCGAGUGGCGGACGGGUGAGUAACACGUGGGUAACCUGCCCAAAAGAAGGGGAUAACAUUUGGAAACAAGUGCUAAUACCGUAUAACCAUGAUGACCGCAUGGUCAUGAUGUAAAAGGUGGUUUUGCUAUCGCUUUUGGAUGGACCCGCGGCGUAUUAACUAGUUGGUAAGGUAACGGCUUACCAAGGUGAUGAUACGUAGCCGAACUGAGAGGUUGAUCGGCCACAAUGGGACUGAGACACGGCCCAUACUCCUACGGGAGGCAGCAGUAGGGAAUUUUCCACAAUGGGGGCAACCCUGAUGGAGCAAUGCCGCGUGAGAGAAGAAGGCCUUCGGGUUGUAAAUCUCUGUUGUAAGGGAAGAAAAUUAGUAAGAGGAAAUGCUUAUUAAGUGACGGUACCUUACCAGAAAGCCACGGCUAACUACGUGCCAGCAGCCGCCGU